GUCUCAGUUCGGAUUGGAGUCUGCAACCCGACUCCAUGAAGCUGGAUUCGCUAGUAAUCGCGCAUCAGCCACGGCGCGGUGAAUACGUUCCCGGGCCUUGUACACACCGCCCGUCAAGCCAUGGAAGCCGGGAGUGCCUGAAGUGCGUGACCGCAAGGAGCGUCCUAAGGCAAUACCGGUGACUGGGGCUAAGUCGUAACAAGGUAGC
rnacentral:rRNA from 1 species